GACAGAGGCCUCGAGCGUUUAGACGGAAUCACUGGGCUUAAAGCGUGUGUAGGCGGAUCGUUAAGUACCUUGUGAAAUCCCACGGCUCAACCGAGGAACUGCGUCCGAUACUGAAAGGCUUGAAUCCGGGAGAGGGAUGUGGAAUUCCAGGUGUAGCGGUGAAAUGCGUAGAUAUCUGGAGGAACACCGGUGGCGAAGGCGGCAUCCUGGACCGGUAUUGACGCUGAGGCGCGAAAAGCUAGGGGGAGCAAACGGGG
rnacentral:rRNA from 1 species